ACCACCACAGUCGUCGGAUGGACGUUGGAUCGACGCCUAAUGGAAUCUCAAAGAUGCACUCAUUUACGCGAGAGAACUUUAUUGAAUAAACAAGAGCUACUUCAAACUUUAUUAGUUCAUUUUAUUCGUUUGCCAGCGGCAGUUAUUCGUCCGAAGGCGAAUACUGCAACGUUGUUACUACUCUGAGUAGAAGGUACCGCUCUCUGCACAAAGAUGGCAGCACUGUAGCUUUUAAUACACAUGUCGCAGUUGGUCUUACAUUGCACACUUGGUAAUGAAACAGAAUCAUUGCCCUUGUUCAGCCGCUGACAACCGGUAAACAGUGGAUUCUUAACUAUUCCACCUAAGGAGGUAAACUGGUUCAGUAGCCACAAGCUAACUUUCGAAAUGUUUAAAAUUCCAUUCACCCGAUACAGAAGCAAAUUAAACAUGAGACGCAACAACGGUGUACACGUCGUACGUUGAUUUCUCGACAAGCUCCUUCACCACUAGUCCUCUCCAAGCUUCUAAAUGCCAUAUGAGCAGAGUUUUCGGACAGAAACCCAUUAUAUUUUGCGACGUUGAAAUUUUAACUGUUUCUGCUUAUUGAUCUGACGCUAACGCAAGCUGAACAAGGCACGUUGAAGACCGUAGAAAUGAAUAAGGGUUCCACACAAACAUCCAAUUGUUUACCUAGGCAUUACGGAGAAAGGUUAGGUCUCAUAUUCAUCGCUACGAUACAUCGAAAGCACGUGCGACAUACAGAUCCAGAGUGUUAUUAUUAUUAUACACAAAGAAAAAGGACAAAGAUGCGCACGUGGGGACACUAUCGAACAAAACUUAUUAAUCCACCUUAAAUGUUGACUUAUUGUUAUUUAUAACCAAUGUCAGUGGUCAAGGUCAAGCGAAUCGUAAGCCAGCAUGAAAAAUCUUUCGUGAUAAUUUACCGUUAGUCAAAUUUAUUCUUAUCAAUCUCUAAUCGAUAUCUACAAUCGCACCGUCAAAAGUUACAAUCGAAAUAUAGAAUUUUUCAUUAAACUGAUUAAACGUCAGCAAUUUCAUUCGCAUGACAUAAUACUUAUGGAACGGUGUCAUCAUGCUCGUCUGGUAUUGUACUUGUUGAGUAAGUGCUUGAAACUAUCGUGCAAAUAAGAAACGAGUUAUUUUCUACUGUACAAGGAUCUACGUAACAGAUUCGCAAGAUGCCAAAAUUAUUAAUAGAUAACUUUCGUCUUUCGAUUUAUUCAUUUUAUUUAUAACUGUACUUAGAAUUAGACAGGAUUGUGUUUAUAAAUGUUUGGAAAACAAAAAGUUAAAUAGACAAAAUUAUUUCUAAGUCCAAA